UACAGAGGGGCAAGCGUUGUUCGGAAUUACUGGGCGUAAAGGCGCGUAGGCGGCCUGCUAAGUCGAACGUGAAAUCCCGGGCUCAACCCGGGAACUGCGUCCGAUACUGGCAGGCUUGAAUCCGGGAGAGGGAUGUGGAAUUCCAGGUGUAGCGGUGAAAUGCGUAGAUAUCUGGAGGAACACCGGUGGCGAAGGCGGCAUCCUGGACCAACACUGACGCUGAUGAGCGAAAGCCAGGGGAGCAAAC
rnacentral:rRNA from 1 species